rnacentral:misc_RNA from 1 species
AACGCACCUUGCGCUCCUUGGUAUUCCGAGGAGCAUGCCUGUUUGAGUGUCAUGAAAUUCUCAACCUUUCUGGCUUUUGCUAGUCAGGCUUGGAUUAUGGGAGCUGCUGGCUUUUUGAAGUCGGCUCUUCUAAAAUGAAUUAGCAAGAUCAUUGCUGCUCAUCAUUGAUAUGAUAAUUAUCUAUAUCAUUGCGAGUCAGUUUCCUUCAUUGGAGGAUUUUGCUCAUAACGGUCUUUAGCAAGACAACAUUUGACCAUUUUGACCUCAAAUCAGGUAGGACUACCCGCUGAACUUAA